AAGGCCAAACUUUCAAACGUUAUUGUCUGAAAUUAUCAAGCUUCAGACGCGUUGUCCAUGUGGGUAAACUUACAAAUUUUUUAUCAAGGGACUAUUAGUUAAAGGGCGGCAUCAAAAGCAAAUGUUCAUGCACUUCCCCUAGUGUUAGCAGUUUUUAUUUUCCUCACAUGCAUGAUGCACUAUAUUAGUGCACUAUAUAAGUCCAUUGGUCCUAGCGAUCGUUAAACUUGGCUCAUUAAUAAGUUUUACUCCCUUCAUUUAUUUUUACUUGUCACUUUUUGACAUGGUACAUUUAGUAAGAAAAUAAUUAUUGAUGAUAUAACUAUUGUUUCAUAUUAUCCCUAUUAAUUGAUGAUUAGAGUAAUAUGUUUUGAAAAUGGUUUGGACAAUAAGCAAUUAAUGCUACGGAUAAAAUAAGAAGUCUUCUUUUGUCUUUUAUUAAUAUGUCAAAAAAAUGAAAAUCUAAUUUAGAAAAAUAAUAACAGGUAAAAUGGAACAAAACGAGUAUAAUUUAGUGCACUAUACCUAAUUUUUGUCAACUCUAAUUUUACACUAUUUGAAUCAUUUUUUUCUUUUUUACUUCCUUAUUUAGGUUGGGGACUCUUCUAAUUGUAUGUCAACUUGCAUAUUGCGAAGAAUGGUUGCACACACAGACAACUUCUAAUCGACCUGUGAACUAUUAUUAGCUAAUCUAAAACUAAUCAGAAAAAGUAAACAGAAACCUAACUCCCUGUCCGUUAAUUUGGAAAAGUAUUGAAGCUAGUAUAACGAUAUAGAAGGAAAAAAAUAUACUAAUUACUGUCUUGAAUUUCUAAGGUAACACUUACUUAUUUUGGAAAUAAAAAGUUUUAUUAAGGUGUGACACUUAUUUUGGGAUGAAUUACGUAAGAUAAAACUGAAGGAAAAAUAUUUUUCGUUAUUGGAUGGAAAUGAAUUUUCUCUCUCUAUAUAUAUACUAGUCAAGUAUACGUGCUUUGCACGUGUAUAUGACAAUAAUAAUAAGUGUAUAUAUAUAAACGAAUAAAUUACUAUCAUUUAUAUCGAACAAUAUACUUGAUCUGCCUUCAAAGAUCCGGCUAUUAUGAAUCGGGUCCAUUUAUACAGUCACUUAAGACUAAUUUCUUGAUAGAGAAAAGUAACCCUUCAAAAGAUCUUAUAUUUCUAUCUUUCCACACCACCCACGUCAAGGCAAGUAAAAUCGCAUUCCAUGUCAUGAAUCUUCUCAUCUAAGACUAAUAAUUAUAAAUUAUGAAACAAAUAUGUGCACAAUAUUUUUUUUUUUUUUAAAAAACAUUGAAAUGCCAAUUAUUUAAUAUUAUACUUUGAAAGGAAAACUAUGUUUUAGAAUCUUGAUGACGACACUAAAACAUAAAUUGAGCAAUUCAAAUUAUUCGUACCGUCUAUCUCUAAGAACCUGAUAGAAGAAUGAAAUUGGAUAUAAAUUUAGUUUGCUAACUCAUGAAAUCUCUAUUUUUAUUUUCUAACCAACUACUGAUUUUGUUUGAUACUCCUUUCACACUAUAGUUUGUUUGUUAUUAACUUAUCAUGACAAAUCACAAUUUUCACUUUAUUUUUCUUUCAAUAGUUUUUUAUUUUAUGUAAGUAUGAUUUUGACAAAAGAGUAUUACCCUGAAUUACGCCUUAAUAAGAACAAUAUGAAUAAUAAAUAAAAUUUAGAACAGAAAAAACAUAUCUUAAAUUCACUCGUACUCGGUACGAAGUCUCAUUCGCAUGCUUCACAUAAAUCUAUCUUCAUCUACAUAAAUAUAUUAGAAAAUCAAUUAAUAAUAAUUUAUUUAUGGAGACAAAUACAAAUAUUUAAGAUUAUUAGAAAGAAAAACAUCUUAAAAAAUAAGGAAUCUUUAAUUUUACUAAACCAACAAUAAAAGAGUAGAAACUUAUUUUGAAGAUAUAUAUAUAUAUAUAUAUAUAUAUAUCACAUGCCGGGAUAGGGAAUAAAUCUUAACAUACACUUUAAAACUUUAGUCUGGCGUGGAAAAAGGUCAAAAAAAAAAAAAUUGAAUCCUAAAAUAUAUUUAAUUACAAUACAAUAUGAUUCUUUAAAUAUAUUUUUGGACUAUUAAAUUUUUUUCAUAUACUUUAGGACUCAAUAUAUUUUAGAAUUCAUAUAUUUUACAUAAUUUAGGAUUCUUAUUUCUUUCCAUAUAUUUAUUUAUUUUAUCAAGAUUCUUUCCAUAUACUUUUGGAGUAUCUCUUCAUUUAAUAAUAUAAUAAUUGAAGAAAAAUAAGUGAAAAAAUAAUCUUGUCUAUUGUAAAGUGUUUUAAUGAAGGACAAUUAUAGAUAUAAAUAUAUAUUAUAAUCAAUAGAUUAUAAAUAUAAAUAUAAAUAUAGAUUAUAGAUUAUAGAUUAAGACCCACUCGAAAGAAAAAGUAUAACUUUAUUCCUACUUUAGUAAUAAAUUUAAAUUCAGACCAAAGUUUUUUUUUCCCAAUAAAAACGUUAAAUUUUUGUUUUUUGAAAAAAAAAAACAAACACCAAUAACACACAGCCUCAUGUAAAGAGUUUGAAGAGCAAUUGGUGAGUAGCUCAUUUUUGACCCCAAAAAAAAACCGUGGAAAAAGGUAAAAAUGAAUUUGGAUCCUAAAAUAUAUUUAAUUAUAAUACAAUAUGAUUCUUUACGUAUAUUUUUGAAGUGUUAAAUUUUUUCCAUAUAUUUUAGGAUUCACAUAUAUUUUAGAAUUCAUAUAUUUUACAUAGUUUAGAAUUCUUAUUGCUUUCUAUAUAUUUAUUUUAUCGGGAUUCUUUCCAUAUACUUUAGAAGUACUUCUUAAUUUAAUAAUAUAAUAAUUGAAAAAAAAAAAAGCUGAAAAGAUAAUUUUAUCUAUUGUAGAGUGUUUUAAUAAAGGGUAAAAAGUUUAAAUUACUUUUUUUAAGAUCUUUAUACUUUUAAUAUAUUAUAAAUUAUAGAUAUAAAUAUAGAUAAUUGCUCCAUCACUUAUCUAAGAUUUGAGGAUUUGAAAGGUCCAUUUGACUUAUAUCACACGAGAACGGCUUAUUAAUGUUAUUGAGCACAUUUCUACAUAAUUAGUUAGUAAUUAUUAGAUUAGCCAGUACGCCUGACGUUCUAUUAGAUUAGCCAGUACCAAAUUGGGCUCGUGAAACACAUUAUUACUAUAUCAAAGAGGAGAUUUUAUCAAUUUAAGGAUGUGUUCGAAGGAAAAUAUUUUCGACAUUUUUUUUAAAUUUUAAAUCUUUUUAGGAAAAUAAAUGAUCUUUCAACUUAUUAAUACUAAAAAAAUAUAUAUUUCAAAAGCAUUAAUAUAUGGUCUAAACCGGGGAAAAGGGCUAAAUUUAUCUCUUCAUUUUGAAAAGUUGGCUAAUUAUACGGUUUUCUUAUAUUUUGAGGUCAAAUUUAUCCGUAAUCUUAUAUUUUGCGCUAAAUUUAUCCUUGCUAUUAAGAAACUUUUCAUAUGUACCCUUCAUUUAACAGAAAGUUCAAAUCGAUAUUAAAUGCCUCAUUUUUAAAAAUAAAAUACCCCCUAAUCUCCCCCAUCCCCUCACCCGACCCGACUUGACCCAUAAAAAUAUCCCUCUCCCAGUUCUGUUGGUCGAAUAUUCCCAAUGAAAUUAGGUCACUAGGUAUUUAUCAAUGCAUAACUCAUGAAAAAUGGAUCUGCAUUAGUGCAGACACAAACAAAUAUGCUCCUCCCUUAGUUCAUGGAUCUGCAUCAGUGCAGAGCUCAUGAAAAUGAUACUUAACAGUCAUAUGCAAUAGAUUAGGCUCACUAGAUAUUUCUCUGGACGAUUGAGUUAAGGGUCCUCCUUAUGUGUCAAUCAUGACAUCUCUUCAUUCUUAUGUCUUUAUAUACAAUUUGGAUCGACUAAAAUUUUUCAUCAUACCACUUUUUGUUCAUUUGUAACAAUACACUAGCGCUGCACGUUGAAACAGAAGUAUAUUUGCUCAUUAGAAAAAUUCGACCAACGGAAUUGAGAGAGAGGAAUGUUUGUUUGUGUAUCUUUUGUAGGUCGGGUGUGAUUGGGGACGUUAAAUUAGGGUGUAUUUUAUUUUUAAAUAAUGAAAUACUUAAUGUUCGAUUUGAGCUUUUUUGUUAAAGGGGGGAUAAAAAAAAAAAAAUUUUAACAAUGAGGGUAAUUUGACCCCAAAGUAUGACAUCAAAUAUAAAUUUGAUCUCAAAAUAUGAUAAGAAGAUAUAUUUAGCCAAUUUUUAAAAUAAAGAGGUAGAUUUUAUCUUUUUUCCUCUAAACAAAUACUAUGAGAUGUGAGGAUGGGAUAGGGGUGUAAGGCUGGUGGGGUUGGGUGAAAACAAGGUUUGUUAAGAGUAUAGAAAGGGCUCAAUCACUAUGGAGUGACAUGUGUUGAACUUGUUUUUCCUGAUUUCUUUAGAUAAUUCAUUUUCCUUGUUUAUUUUUUUAAAUACUUAGUAGGCGUUUGGUCAUAUUUCAUUAUAUAAAUUGGAAAAAGUUAGUUUUAAAGUGAAAAAUGAUAUUUGAAAAUUAGAGUUGUGUACGAUUAUGAAGUAAAUUAGAGUUAUUUUUUGCAUUUUUGUCGUAAUUUGAAUUAAAAAAGUUAAAAUAUUUUUUUUUGUUUCAGGAAUAUUUGAAAAUUCUUGAAAAAGGUAAAAAAAAAAAAAAGCAAAACAAAAUAAAUUUCAUAAUUUUAUAGCCAAACAUAGUUUUUGGAUGGGUGUUCUAUUCUGCAAAAAGUGAGAAAUUUUCUUGGCCAAACGAGUCCUUAUUUUUCUAAGAAAAAUAGUUUUCAAAAAUUAACCAAUCGAAUAUGAGAUAAUUGAAAAUAUUUUUAAAAAAUAUUUUUGUCAUACCGAUCGUACAAUCCGUGACGCCCCUAAAUAGAUAUAAAACUAUUUCUAGUGGCAUUUUUGAAAUGAAAAAUAAAACUUAAACAUAGUCUUUUGCUAGUUACAAACGAAUAAUUAGAACAUGUAUAUAGUUGGAUUACAAAAGCUUUCAAAAUUAUUUCGGUGUAGAAGAAAAAAUAUUAUAAAUCAUAAUAAUUAAAAACUUAAAUUAUUUUAAGAAUAUAAUUGACUAUCAAUGCCACAAAAAUUGGGACAAAAAGAGUAACAUAUAUUAUUUAAAAAUUAAAUAAAAAAUAUUAUAAAUUACAAUAGCUAAUAAUUUAAAAUAUCUAAAAACAUAUUAUGGGGAAAGGACAUGGGAUGACCAUUUUUAGAAAAAAAAAAAUGGCCCACAUUUGAAAAGGUGGAUAUGCUGUAGCCAGUCGACUAAAUUAAUUCUCCUUUUUAGCCAUUUGGCCCAAUUGGGCACUUGCAGACUCUAUAUUCAAUUGAUACACUUUUAUACUACAUUGAUACACUUUUAUAUUAUAUUGAUACACUUUUUAAAAAAGAGAAAGGAAAUUCUAUGCAAGUACGUGCAGUUCCUAUAACCAAUUGAUACUUUUUUAUACCAUAUUGAUACACUUUUAUACUACAUUGAUACACUUACAGUGUCCAUAUACUCAAUUGAUACUCUCUUAUACUAGGUUGAUACAUUUUUAGAAUGCAUGUAGAAACUAUAUAGAGUCGUAUAAAAUAUGUAUCUAAAUAAUAAUUGUAGUUAAAAAGUAUAUAUAAUGUGUAUAAAAAUGAUAUAAUUAUUAUAUAGAAUAUGUAUAUGUAUUUUAAUAAUGUUAUAUAACUUAAAAAAGAUUGUCAUGUAAAUGGUUUAGAAUAAAACUUAUAAAUCUACCUAAAAGUUCAGUUGAAUUGUCCAACGUCUACUUUGACUUUUGAAAGUGAAAUAAACUAAACUUUGCAUUAUUAAAAAAGAAAAGGAGCCAAAAAAACACAGGCCAUUAAAGAUGAAAAGUUGGCCAGUACACAAAACGGAAAGGGCCGAAUUGUGAUGCUUAAUGGCCUAAUUGUGAUGCUUAAUGACUAUUUUCUAGGUUUUUAAAUUUAGGUGUUAGUUUUGUGAAAUUAUUUUAAUUUUAGGUGCUAUUUUUGUCAAGGACAAAAAUAGCACCUAAAACUAAAAUAAUUCCACAAAACUAACACCUAAAUUUAAAAACCCAGUAAAUAGCCACCAUCAUAACCAUUUAUAUGAUAGUAGUGAAAUACACUUUACUGAAUUAGUAAUAUUGAAACUUGUUUGAAUCUUCAACCCAGAACAAAUCUCUCUUUAUUUUUUUUUAAGGCUAAACCCAAAAUCCUCUCUCUCUGUCACUUUCUCUCUCUCUUCUUCUUCUUUGUACAUUGCGCGAUCUCUGCAACUCUAAAGCUAUUUUCCUCUUCUAUACAUACAUUCACUUUUUACAAGUCAUCCUCUAUUUUCCUUCUUCGAAUUUUCUCUGUAAAAGGUGUAUUUAUGUGGUAUAUAUACUGUACCGACGUGGUAUAAAAAUGUAUCAAUCUAGUAUAAAAGUGUAUUAAUGCGGUAUCAAAGUGUAUCAAUGUAGCAUAAAGUGUAUCAAUAUAGUAUAAAGGGCAAAUCACAUAAAUAUACAAUUUAAGAGUAAAUAUUACAAAAUAUACCACUAGUUUCAUUUUUAUAAAAUAUACCACUAGAAAAUUUACAAAACUUAUCAAAUAAGAUAAAAAGAAGAAAAAAAAUAGUUAAAAGUAUCUUUCCUAUAAUUUCUCUUAAUAUAUUUUUCAAUUCCAUACCCACCUCAUAACAAAAUUAUUUUGGGGAAAAUUUCAAAAUUAUUGCUAUAAAAUUAAUUACACGAAAGAACAUUUACUUUUCAUUCAACAAUUUCUUCUUCCUAUUCUUUUCCUUCUAUUUUAUAUUGGAUUUUUUUUUCUCUUUUCUAUUUUUUCUUCUUCUUAUUAAUUAUGUACCUCGUUUUUCUUUUUUUAUUUUCUUCGUGUGUUCUUAAUUAUCACAAGAAGAAUAUAUAGUUACCCAUAUGUAAAGAUUGAAUUUUUAGGAUUUCUUUUGAAGAAAGAUCUGGGUAAAAAAUAUAUAGUUAUCCAUCUUUACAUCAAUUUCUAUAAAUUUCAGAUACCAUAAAAUUAUUAAUACACUUAUUUUUAUAUAUUUCACUAUGAAAUUAUUUUUAUUGAUAAACCUAUUUCUAAAGAGAUCAAACACUAUAAAAUUAUAGAUACACCAAUUUCUAAGACACUUUAAAUAAAAUUGAUGAUAUACCAAUCUCUAAAUAAUUCAGACACCAUAAAAUCGUUAAUAUAUCAAUUUCUAACUAUUUCAAAAAUCAUAAAAUUAUUAAUACUCAAUUUUUUAUACAAUUCAAACACCACAAAGCUGUCGAUACACCAAUUUCUAUACAAUUUAGACACCAAAAAGCUGGUAAUACACCAAUGUCUAUACAAUUCAUACACCAAUUUUUAUACAAUUCAUACACCAAUUUCUAUACAAUUUGUGCAUUAUGACACAUCAAUAUAUCUACAAUUCUUGCACCAUAAAAUCAUUGAUACACCAAUUUUUAUACAAUUCAAACACCAUAAAGCUGUUGAUACACCAAUUUCUAUACAAUUCAGACACCAUAAAGCUGGUGGUACACCAAUUUCUAUACAAUUCAUACAUCUAUUUCUAUACAAUUCAUACAUAAUGAUACACCAAUUUCUAUAUAAUUCAUGCACUAUACAAUUCAGACACCAUAAAGCUGGUGGAACACCAAUUUCUAUACAAUUCAUACAUCUAUUUCUAUACAAUUCAUACAUAAUGAUACACCAAUUUCUAUAUAAUUCAUGCACCAUAAAAUCAUUGAUAACCUUCACUUGCUGGUGUCAUAAAAAAAUUCUCGAAACUCCUCAAAAAUAUCGAAAGAUUCAACCUAGUUGACCUCUUCCUUUCCAACAACGUAGAAGUAGAAUAACAAAAGAACAAUCAGUAGUAACAUACAUUGAGAAAAAAACCAAAAACCUCCAUGAAAAAUCAUAUCCAUGGCCAUCGUCGCCACCAUAUCAGAUUCCUUCACCGUAUCCAAAAUAAAAAACACAAAAUAUACUGACCGAUGAACAAACAGAUUGUCACCACCAUCAUCAAGAGUGAUAACCCAAAAAUAUUUUGGUUAUUGAAUCACUUGACGGUUUCCUUAGCCCUUUGUACAAUUUCUUAAGCCAUUUUUUCUCACAAACAAAAUCCUUAAAAAUCCUCAAAUAUUUAUGCGGGAUAUUAGCAUACCAUACAGAAUUCCUACUUUCCAGCCACCACAACGGCAAUUUGUACCCAAACGACGCUGGAAUUCUGCACUUCAACAACUCGUUCUUCCACCAUGGAUUAUUUUACAAAUGGAUGACAAACUUAUAUGGAGAAAUUUCAUAAAUAUAAUGAGGGAAAAAAAUCAAAAAAUUUAAUGGAGUUUGGAUGAAACCAUCCAAAAUCAUCCGGCAAUUUGCUCGAUGUAAUCGGGCAGAUCGCUCAUCGGAGUUGCUGCAAGAAACAAUGCUUGCCUUGACUGUUGCACUUUCGUUUAGGGCUAUAAUAUUGUAUGAGGAAGGAAUCCUAUAUUAGUCUAAUCGUUUUCAUGAUAUCCCCGUUGAGAAAGGCAAACUUUCAUGAUUUCUAGGGUAUUAAAAACUAGGGAUUUAGAUAUGUGUUUUCUGGUUGGGCCUUGGGAAUUUGAGGAAGGAAAGAAUUUUGUUUUGAUUUUUUUUAAUUUUUGUAUGAGAAAGAAAAAUAAUGUGAGAAAAGGGUUAGAAUUUUUAAUACAAGAUGAUCUCUAAAUAGUUGAUAGAUUUUGUAAAUAAAAGUUAUAUUUUGUAAAUAAAAAAUAAUGCUAGUAUGUUUUGUAAUAUUUACUCUUAAGUUGUAUAUUUAUGUGAUUUUAAUUAGUAUAAAAGUGUAUCAACUGGGUAUAGAGUCUGCAUGCGACCGGCGGGCCAAAUGACUAAAAAUCAAAAUUAAAUUGGACCGACUGGCUCCAAUUGUCCAACUUUUAAAAUUGCUGGUCAUUUCUUUUCAAAAUGGUCAGCCCAUGUCCUUUUUCCUUAAAAAUAUGAUUGACUAUCUAAAUUAUAUUUGUGCCACAUAAAUUCAGAGGUAGUUUUGGUGUUUUAUAGUUUGUACGUUUUAAUAUUUUAAUUUAGUAGUUUGUUGAUCCAAAUGAUGUUUUCAUAUUUAACAUGUUUUGAAAAUUUAGUACUUUAUUUAUUUUAUUUUGGUAAAAUAUUAUAUAUUUAAAAAUUAUUCAAAAAAAAUAAUUAUUAGUCAUAACUAUUAACUUCUUAUAAUAUUUUAAAAACAUAUAGUAAAAAAUAUGAUUGACUUUUGAAAUUCUAAUAGUGUCACAUAAGUUGUGAUAAAGCAACAUAAAUUAUUUGGAAUUAUAUUAAAAGAUACUACAAAUCACAACAAUUACCAACUUAAAAUAUUUAAAAAAUAUAUUAGUAAAAAUUUUACUAUAUCUUUAAAUUCUAAAAUUUGGACAAAGCGAGUAACAUAACUUGUUUGAUAAUUACAUAAAAGGUCCUAUAAAUCACAAUUAUUAACAACUUAAAUUAUUUAAAAAUUUAUAUUAAUAAAAAUUUGAUUGACACUCUAAAUGUUAUUUGUGCUACAUAAAUUGAGAUAACGCAAAUAACAUAUGUUGGGCCCGUGUGUGGCUAAAUCAUCUAGUAUAAAUAUAAGAUCACUAAUUCAAUCUUGCACAUAAAAAAAGUCCCUCACAAAUAUAUAUAUAUAUAUAUUGCUGUUCUCAGAUUCAUAAAUUGCUCCAUCACUUAGCUAAGAUUUGAGGAUUUGAAAUGUCCACUUGACUUAUAUCACACAACAACGUCUUAUUAAUGUUAUUGAGCACAUUUCUACACUAUUAGUAUAGUUAUUAUUAGAUUAGCCAGUACCAAAUUGGGCUCGUGAAACACAAUAUUAUUAUAUCAAAGAGGAGAUUUUAUCUGUAAUAUCAAAGAGGAGAUUUUAUCAAUUUACAGAUGUGUUCAAAGGAAAAUAUUUUAGACAAUAUUUUUUGAUCUUUAAACUUAUUAGUAAAAAAAAAUAUAUUUCAAAAGCAUUAAUAUACGGUCUAAACCGGGGAAAAGAGCCAAAUUUACUCCCUCACUUUGAAAAGUUAGGCUAAAUAUACCCUUCCCUUAUAUUUUGAGGCCAAAUUUACCCAUAACCUUAUACUUUGAGGUUAAAUUUACCCUUACUAUUAAGAAGCUUUUUACAUGUACCCUUCAUUUAACAGAAAGUUCAAAUCAACAUUAAAUGCCUCAUUUUUAAAAAUAAAAUACCCCCUAAUCUCCCCCAUCCCCUCACCCGACCCGACUUGACCCAUAAAAAUAUCCCUCUCCCAGUUCUGUUGGUCGAAUAUUCCCAAUGAAAUUAGGUCACUAGGUAUUUAUCAAUGCAUAACUCAUGAAAAAUGGAUCUGCAUUAGUGCAGACACAAACAAAUAUGCUCCUCCCUUAGUUCAUGGAUCUGCAUCAGUGCAGAGCUCAUGAAAAUGAUACUUAACAGUCAUAUGCAAUAGAUUAGGCUCACUAGAUAUUUCUCUGGACGAUUGAGUUAAGGGUCCUCCUUAUGUGUCAAUCAUGACAUCUCUUCAUUCUUAUGUCUUUAUAUACAAUUUGGAUCGACUAAAAUUUUUCAUCAUACCACUUGCUCAAAAAACUUAUCCAUUGAUUAUAGAAUAUAGAUGCACAUAGAAUUGCAUACCAAAUUUUAAAAAUUGAGCAUAACUUAAAUAGGAGCAAAGUCUAUACUAGAUAUUUUUUCUAGUUCCAUGCUUCUGUGUUAUCUCAUUUCAUUUUGCUUUUUGUUCAUUUGUAACAAUAUACUAGCGUUGCACGUUGAAACAAAAGUAUAUUUGCUCAUUAGAAAAAUUCGACCAACGAAACUGAGGGAGGAGUAUGUUUGUUUGUGUAUCUUUUGUGGGUCGGGUCUAAUUGAGGAGGUUGAAUUAGAAUGUGUUUUAUUUUUAAAAAAUAAAAUAUUUAAGGAUAAACAACAUAAAUUCCAACACUUUGCUACCUAAUUACCCUCUCUCCAACUUUUAUAUUAAUUACUUAAUAUCCUGGAUAUGAUACAUAAAUUUGGUCCGGAUACAUAACCGAUAGAUACAUAACUACCAAAUUAAUUGACUAUAAAAAGGGAAAAUAACAGUAAAAGAGUAAAUAACGGAACAAUUAAUGCAAUUCUAAUUGAGAUAUCUCUCUUAAUCCCUAAAAAUUAGUAACAGAUUCAUAUUCAAAUUUGAAUCACCAAAAUAAUCUCCCUCAAUCAAAAUUCUCCCAGUUCUUUCUAUCUCUAUUAUUUUUUUGGUGGAUCUUCAUUGUCGCUGGCAUAUCCUUUUCUAGCCUUGACGAUGCCAUACUUCCAUAAGAAUAUUGCGUAUCUCUUUUGAUGAUAUUCUGCAUCAAAAUCAGAUGAAGGAAUCAAACCAUCAUUAAGAAACUCAGCAAAACCUAUUACAAGAUCUCCAGAGUGCCUAAAUAUGUCUGGUACUUACUAAUUUGAAUGGAUCAGAUGAAAAAACAAUACAAAUCAACUUCAACAUUGACUAUAUGUAUCAGAAGUAAUGAUAUAUUUCAUACUUAUAUAUCAUACUCAUAAUGUUUAAUGUAUCAGGUGUAAAACAAACUAAAACUCACAUACAAUUUUUAGAAUAUAUCAUAUAAAUCUAAAAUCUCGACAAAAUUAGAUUUUAGUAGAAAAUCUCGACAAAAUUAGAUUUUUAGUAUAUUACUUGUAUCAAGUAUAAAACUGAACCAUAAUCACAUAUAUGUUAUAUUAUGUAUCAUAAAGCAUGCAAGGACUCAUUAACAUUGACUAUAUGUAUCAGACACAAUUUAUUACAUGUGUCAUAUCUAUAAAGAAACAAAAUCACACGUAAAAUUUAUGAUGUAUCAGAACGUAUGCAUUGUCAUGAAAAUUGAUUUUUUGUAGCUUACUUCUUCCUCUUUAUAGAUGCAAUAAUCGAUAACUUCUUCAUCAUAGCCGGAUCAUUUUGAUAUUUCAAUCUAUUUUCACGAAAAUCAAUGUUGUUCAUAUCAUAAUGAAAUGGUGGAAAUUAAAAAAGAAAGUUAAUAGUGGAAAGAUGGAGUUGUUAGAUCUAAUUGAGUAGUAGAUGAGAACAUGAUGGAAAUUCAAAAGAAAGUUAAUGAAAGUUGUAACUUGAAUGUUGAAGUAGAAUAUGAAGAUGAGAACAUGGUGGAAAUUCAAAAUGGGUGAGCUGAGAAAAUCGUGGAAUAUAUUUCUUGAUUUUUGGGCUUGAUCUGUGGCACACACAAUUAGGGAUUGUGGGUGAAUUUUUUUAAAUGUAUCAGAAAAGAGACAACUAUUUUGAGUAUAAAGGGAUGUUUGUAAUUAGUUUAGUUGGAUGAGAUUUUAAGUAAUAAUAGAAAUUUAAGGUGUGGUUAUAAGUAAUUUAUCCAAUUUUAACAUUGAUUUGAGCUUCUCCAUUAAAAGAAGGAUUUCAGAAAAAAGUUUCUUAAUAAUGAGGAUAAUUUGGCCCCAAAGUAUGACAUCAAAAAUAAAUUUGACCCUAAAGUACGAUAAAAGAUAUAUUUAGUUAAUUUUUAAAGUAAAGGGAUAAAUUUAAUCUUUUUUUCCUCUAAACAAAUACUAUGAGAUAUGGGGGUGAGAUAGAGGUGUAGAGCUGGUGGGAUGAGACUAGUGGGGUUGGGUUAAAACAAGGUGUGUUAAGCGGAUAGGAAGGACUUAAUCAAUAUGGAGUGAUAUGUGUUGAACUUGUUUUUCCUGAUUUCAUUAGAAAAUUCAUUUUCUUUAUUUUUUAAAAAACUUAGUAGGCAUUUGGUCAUGUUUCAUUGUAUGAAUGGAAAAAAGUUAUUUUCAAAGUGAACAAAUGAUAUUUGAAAAUUAGAGUUGUGUUUGACCAUGAAUUAAAUUAGAAAUAGUUUUUGCAUUUUUGUUGUAAUUUGAAUAAAAAAAGUGAAAACAAGUUUUCGUUGUUUUAGAGAUAUUUGAUAAUUCUUGAAAAAAGUAGAAAAUGUAAAACCACAAAAUUUCAUAAUUUUGUAGCCAAACAUGGUUUCCAGAGUUCCAUUCUGCAAAAAAUAAAAUAAAAAAUUCUUGGCCAAACGGACCCUUAUUUUUCUAAGAAAAAUAAUUUUCAAGAAUUAACCAAUCGAACAUGAGAUAAUUGAAAAGUAUUUUGUAAAAGAUAUUUUUGUCAUACCGAUCACCCAAUCUGUGACACCCCUGAAUAGAUGUAAAACUAUUUCUUAUGGCAUUUUCGAAAUGAAAAAUAAAACUUAAACAUAGUCUUUUACUAUUUUUUUUUUUGUUUUUUUUGGUUUCCCAAGUAUCUCCACAACCGGCAGUCAUGAGACUAAUCCUCCAUUCCUACUGUCAGCUCACUAAAACGGUAGGGAACUGGUCAAAGAGUUUCUUCCAUUCACGAGAGGUGGAGAUCAAACCCCCAACCUCUUGCUUAAGGGGUGAGGUGCUGACCCACCACACCAACCCUUGUGGUUGUCUUUUACUAGUUACAAACAACUAAUUAGAACAUGUAUAUAGUUGGAUUACCAAAAGCUUUCUAGAAUUUGUUGCUAUAAAAAUAAAUUUAUCUCAUGUUCACAAAGGAAAAGGCUCUCCACGGCUCAAAGCGAAUAGGCUGGCAGUCUUGAAGCGAAGGAGAAUUCGCAUGAGCGUGUGUGUAUAUAUAUAUAUAUAUUAUUUAUAUUUAUAUAUAUAAUAAAGAAGUGCUUUUUAACAAUUUGAGGAUGUGUUCGGUUCAAACGAAAAUAUAUUCUUUUGUUAUGAAAAUAUUUUUUAAAAAAAUAAGUAGGUUUCUUAUGUAUUUAUAAUGAAAACAAUUAUUAUGAGGGAUGGAGACUAUCGGGUGAGGUGUAUUUGAGGAUGGACAAAACGCAUAGUUUAUUAGUAGGAACCUAUAUCAUAAUAGGUAGGAAAUUAUGACAAGAUUCAUUAUUUUUUCAAAUAUCAUUUAGCCAGUUUACUUUGUAUUUCUAAAUAUUUGAGCCAGUUUUAUUUUACAAAUAAAAUAACCUUGUCGUUAUCAACAAUUGUUUGUCUCCUGCUAUAUAAAGAGCACAUUCCUCAACUUAUGUUGGAAAAAGCACAAACAAGUGUAGUUCCAAUAUGGGAACACCAUCAAAGUUGGGGCAAUGUCCCCUUCUUGUUUAUGCUUUUGCAUUUUGCUUGAUAGCCACUGGCGUAGCGGCUGAUUAUGAGCCUCACAUUCAUGAUUCAUCAUCUUUGUCACACCGUUAUAAGUCCCGAAUGCCUCCGCCACCUUCUCCGCCACGUCCUUACUAUUAUAAAUCACCUCGAUAUCGAAUCCGUGUACCUUAUCCAUAUUACUACAAAUCUCCACGACAACCAAUCCGUUAUCCUUAUCCAUAUCAUUACAAAUCUCCGCCACCGCCUCCUCCAUCUCCUCGAAAACCUUAUCACCGUAAAUCACCACCACCACCACCACCAAUUCGUUCUCCUCGUCCAUAUUAUUACAAAUCUCCACCACCGCCUUCUCCAUCUCCUCGGACACCUUAUUACCGUAAAUCACCACCACCACCACCAAUUCGUUCUCCUCGUCCCUAUUAUUACAAAUCUCCACCACCACCUUCUCCAUCUCCUCGAACACCUUAUUACCGUAAAUCACCACCACCACCGCCACUAAUUCGUUCUCCUCAUCCAUAUUAUUAUAAAUCUCCACCACCGCCUUCUCCAUCUCCCCCGCCACCUUAUUUCCCUAAAUCACCACCACCACCAAUCCAUUCUCCUCAUCCAUAUAAGUCUCCACCACCACCUUCUCCAUCUCCACCUCCACCUUAUUACACUACAUCACCACCACUACCAAUCAUUUCUCCUCCACCGCCAUAUUAUCACAAAUCUCCACCACCGCCUUCUCCAUCUGCACCGCCUCCAUCUCCAUCUUCAUUGCCGUCACCUUCGAUUACACCUAUCGCUGAACCAUUUCCAUCUCCGAUGGUGCCACCACCAUUGACUACACCUAUUUCUGAACCAUCUCCAUCUCCAUCUCCAUCUCCAUCUCCAUCUCCAUCUCCAUCUCCAUCUCCAUCCCUGCUAGCACCGUCGAUUACACCUAUCGCUGAACCAUUCCCAUCUCCAUUUCCGCUAGCACCAUCGACAACCCCUAUUGUUGAACCCUUUCCAUCUCCAUUGCCGCCAAUUGCUGAACCAUUUCCGUCACUAUCGCCUUCACCAUCACCAAUUACACCUAUCGCUGAACCAUUCCCAUCUCCAUUUUCUCUAGCACCAUCGACAACCCCUAUUGUUGAACCCUUUCCAUCUCCAUUGCCACCAAUUGCUGAACCAUUUCCAUCACUAUCGCCUCUACCAUCACCAAUUACACCUAUCGCUGAACCAUUCCCAUCUCCAUUUCCGCUAGCACCAUCGACAACCCCUAUUGUUGAACCCUUUCCAUCUCCAUUGCCACCAAUUGCUGGACCAUUUCCAUCGCUAUCGCCUCCACAAUCACCAAUUACACCUACCACUCAACCAUUUCCAUCUUUAUCUCCUCCUUCACCAUUAAUUGCACCUACUGAUGAACCAUUUCCAUCUCCAUUGCCGCCUGCAUCUCCUCCUUUGUCUCUACCUAUUUCUCCAUCUCCACCACCUCCAAUAAAGACCCCCCUUCCUCCAUUGGUGUCUCCACCUCCACCAUGCUACACUAAAUAUCCUCCCCCACCAUCUUUGUUCCAUCUUCCACUACCACUUCCCUUUAAUCGACCUCCACUUCCACCAUCUAAUUGUAUGCCUCCCCCACCAUCUCCACUAUGUAAUAAUAAAUCUCCACCCCCACCAUCUUUUUUCCAUAUUUCUCUACCUUUUCCCUUUAGUCGACCUCCACCUCCAUCAUCGAAUUGUAUCUCUCCUCCACCACCAUAUCCAUUAAAGUCUCCACCUCCACCUCCACCUCCACCACCUCCUUCUCCAUCUCCCCCACCUCUAAUAAAGCCUCCGCCUCCUCCUUCAAAGUCUCCACCUCCACCACCACCUUCUCCAUCUCCCCCACCUCCAAUAAAGCCUCCGCCUCCUCCUUCAAAGUUUCCAUCUCCCCCACCUCCAAUAAAGCCUCCGCCUCCUCCUUCAAAGUUUCCAUCUCCCCCACCUCCAAUAAAACAUCCGCCUCCUCCAUCAAAGUCUUCACCUCCACCACCUUCUUCAUCUCUUCCACCUCUAAUAAAGUCUCCGCCCCCACCAUCAAUAUCUCCACCUCGACCACCUUCGGUAAAUUCCCCACCUCCCCCAUCAAAGUCUCCACCUCCACCUCUCGUAAAGUCCCCGCCUCCACCAAAGUCUUUACCUCUUUCACCACAGCCACCUUCUCCAUCUCCCCCACCUCCGAUAAAGCUUCUGCCUCCCCCACCCCCACCUUUAGUAAAGUCUCCACCUCCUCCACCUUCGAUAAAGUCUCCACCUCCUCCAUUUUCAAUAGUUCUUCCACCAUUGCCACGAAUACCUCUUCCACGCCUACCCCCAUUGCUACAAAUACCUCUUCCACGCCCACGUAUGCCUUUUCAUCAAGCACCCUAGAGCCACAACUCGCCUCCACUACUAUUGAAAUUUCAUGGUUAUCAAUAUACAUCCUCCUCCUCCGUCACAUAAAAAAAAGUUUA
rnacentral:lncRNA from 1 species